rnacentral:rRNA from 1 species
AGAGUUUGAUCCUGGCUCAGGACGAACGCUGGCGGCGUGCUUAACACAUGCAAGUCGAACGGAAAGGCCCUUCGGGGUACUCGAGUGGCGAACGGGUGAGUAACACGUGGGUGAUCUGCCCUGCACUCUGGGAUAAGCCUGGGAAACUGGGUCUAAUACCGGAUAGGACCACACACUUCAUGGUGAGUGGUGCAAAGCUUUUGCGGUGUGGGAUGAGCCCGCGGCCUAUCAGCUUGUUGGUGGGGUAAUGGCCCACCAAGACGAUGACGGGUAGCCGGCCUGAGAGGGUGACCGGCCACACUGGGACUGAGAUACGGCCCAGACUCCUACGGGAGGCAGCAGUGGGGAAUAUUGCACAAUGGGCGCAAGCCUGAUGCAGCGACGCCGCGUGAGGGAUGACGGCCUUCGGGUUGUAAACCUCUUUCAGUAGGGACGAAGCGAAAGUGACGGUACCUACAGAAGAAGGACCGGCCAACUACGUGCCAGCAGCCGCGGUAAUACGUAGGGUCCGAGCGUUGUCCGGAAUUACUGGGCGUAAAGAGCUCGUAGGUGGUUUGUCGCGUUGUUCGUGAAAACUCACAGCUUAACUGUGGGCGUGCGGGCGAUACGGGCAGACUAGAGUACUGCAGGGGAGACUGGAAUUCCUGGUGUAGCGGUGGAAUGCGCAGAUAUCAGGAGGAACACCGGUGGCGAAGGCGGGUCUCUGGGCAGUAACUGACGCUGAGGAGCGAAAGCGUGGGUAGCGAACAGGAUUAGAUACCCUGGUAGUCCAA